rnacentral:piRNA from 1 species
UAAAAAAUCCUCGACUUCAAGAAAGAAGAU